CUUCCGUAAAUCGGAAUUGCAAUAGGCAGGGAUCAUCAAACUAUAAUUGUUAUAUAUAUUAGUAAUCAUCGUGUCCGGGGAAAUUUUUUUAACAUUCUGCAUACCUUUUUCCCUUUAUUACAUUUAUCAUAUCCAGAAUGGUGCUCCCAUUAAAUGGAAACUCAGCAAAAGCUAUUACAUACAAGGUCACCCCCAUAGACCAUAUAUCCAAAGGUUUACCCUUAAUUUUUUUCAGCUCAUUAUCGAAGAGUUCCUAAAGAGGUUAAUAUUUUAUGACAAAAAAUGUUACUUACAGGAGCCAUAAAAGCUGGGGUGCCAGAUGCGGGUUUUACAAAUCCAUCCUUUGGUAAAAACUCUGCUAGUCCAAAAUCAAUAACACAUAGGUUAUUGUUUUCCUUAAACAAAAUAUUAUCCGGUUUAAUAUCUCGGUGAAUAACUCCUUUUCCAUGAACUAUAUGGGAACAAGAUUAACGUCUGUACAUUACUCAUAAAGAAGAACUUACUGUAAUUAACUGCUAAAACAAGUUGGCGAAAGCUCUUUCUGCAAGUUUCCAGAGGCAUUGGAUCAAAGGAAAUUCCAUGGUCUACUGAUGCCAACUUUCCACCAGGACAGUAGUUGAGGACUAAUUGUUGUUAGUGAAAUUGAAAAUAAAUGAUCUAGUUUAUUUGGCAUGCAAGAUUCGAAUGUUCACACGCGCAAAAUUUAUAAAAUUGACAUACCCAUACACAGCGAAUCUUUAUAGUCACUGUUGAUAACUUGAUAAAGUUUUACUACAUUCUCAUGAUCCAAUACUUUAAGCACAUCUAAUUCUUUUCGAAUAUAAUAAUAUGGGUCCUUUUUCUCCUGAUUACGAAUUUGGUCCUCGAUUGUUGAUGAGUCCAUGUCGUUAAAAGAACCCAGCUCUUUUUCCAAUUGCAUGAGCCGGAACUUCUCUCUCCUCCUAAGACUUGUCUUUUUAAAUUCUUUGAUAGCCUAAAUUUAAGACCAACACAUGCUCUCAUGUGAUGGAUAAUUGGUUAGCAGUUUUACUCUAGCAAUUUUAAUACCUUCGUGAAAUGCAUAGUCUUACAUUUCGACGAAGAAAAAUCAUACAUAUUCAAUGUUAGUAGAAACAUCGACCGCUAGGUAGACCGUGCUGCACGCACCAUAACCUAACAUAUUUUUGAGGCGGUAUUGCUUCAGCAGAGGACCCUCGUCCUCUUCAUCACUUUCAGGGCCUUCUGUGAGCAAGCUCGUUUCCGAAGAAUUAUAAUUAUUACUGCUUAAAAAACUAGGGAGAGGAAGAGACAUGGUGAUUUUUGGGUUCUUGUUAAUGCAGUGACUUCACCGCACAGCGAUGGAAUGGAUAUUCAAAUAUAAAGCAAAAUUAAGUUCUUCAGGUAAAUGGUGAUAUUUUAUAAGUUCAUUUACAGGGAAUUCAACAAUGGGCUUAAUAUCAUUGAAAAUGUAUAGGUUAGGUAGAAUCAAUGAUCAUACUGUAUUUGGAAGUUA